UUUCCUACGAUUAGGAACAUUUUUCUCACUAGGUUUUUGCUACGUAACGAGGUUUGAACAAGGCACCCAUCCUGGGAUGAUCAUACUCAUUUGAGUUUGCUACUUUUGUCCUAUUUGACUUUUGUUUUAGACAGUAUGUAUACUCUCAGUUUUCUCUUUAGUCUAUGGAUUUUUCUCCCACAAUGGGUUUUACCAUAUCAAGGUUUUGUGAGUUUUACUACCAAUGCAUACUUUCUUUUAAAUUUGAGACUCGCAUUCGCCCGUUCUGCCACUGACUUCAUCAAUUGUUCUGCCAUAUCUAUUGAAGAUCUGAUGCGAUGUUUUUUUUUAGUAUUUACACACUCAAGGAUGAGUGUUGUAGUCAUGUUUAGAAUAGAAAUGUGAUUGUGUAAAUCCUAGUGUAUCUAGAGAUAUCUUUGAAUAUUUCCUUUAGUAGUUAAUAUUCUAUUAGAGUUGUAAUCAUAAAGGGUAAAGAUUUAAUAUAUCAUACUACUAUAAAUAAAGGUACAAUAGGAUGAUACAACACACUUCACAAUUAAAUUUAUCUCUUCUCUCUUAUUGUCGUUGGUCUCCCCCUGUCUAUUUACUUAGAAUAGUUCAGUUAAAUAGGUCUAUAACAAAAAAUAUUUUUUCUAAAAAUAUGUUAAUAGUACAAUCAUUUUAUAAGAAACACCUCGGCGGCGUUUGUUGCGCUGGACUAUCUCGGACUGGACUAGCUUCAAGGACUAAGCUGGACUGGCUUAGACUAGACUAAGCUGGACUAACUUAGUGAAGCGUUUGGUGCAGUGUUGGACUAAGAAGCUGGAUAAUAACAAAUUCUAAUAUUAUAUUAUUUAAUAUAUAAAUUAUUAAUAUUUUAUUAUGAUCUAGGUGACCGAAGAUGACGAAGAGUCUAUCGAGAAUGGUUGUUGAGCAUGACGAGGACGAGAGAGGAU
rnacentral:lncRNA from 1 species